CCAUUUUUGCCUUGUUUCCAUGGUAACACAAGACAUUUUCGAAAUUCCAACGCCAAAUUGCACAUCUUCCAAUGUUGCUCAUCAUUACUGUGAAGUUUCAUUAAAUUUGGAGCAUUUUGAUAUUUUCGAAAUUUUUGGUGUAGUAUCCAUGGCAACAUAGUAGUUCCAAUGAAUGCCAAAAACCAUCCAAAACAAGUAUAUGCCCGGCACCUACAUUGUAUCAAAAUAUAAUGAUUCUAAGUUAAAGCAUCUCCAAAUAAUUCCCAAAAACCAAAAAGUGGAAUUUUUCACAUUUGUUCCGUUUCCAUGGUAACGGCAGCCAUUUUUAAUGGUCCUAUGACCUACUGCAACCCGAAAUUUUGUGUUCCUCAUUAUAGUUGACUAUCACUAAGAUUGGUUCCAUUGCCUUAAAAAAAUCUGCCGGACAAAAAUCAUUGGAAGAAUAAGAAUAAUAAUAACAAAGAAACGGAGGAAAAGCAAUAUGUCACCCGACAUUGUCGAUCGGGUGACAUAAUAAUAAAUGUACAGCCCGCCGACAUUGUCGAUCGGGUGACCGUACCGUUGAGGGUGCCAUAACUAGAUUUGUAAUUGCUAGCAAUAACGGAUGGCACCCUCGUCCCCCCAUUGCCAGGCGAGCGGCAGCCAUUUUGAAAAUUUCAAAGUCAAAGAGUGCAUCUACACAUGCAAGUCAUCAUUUUUGCAAAAUUUCAUUAAGUUUGGAAGCAUUUUGAAAUUUUGGACAAUUUUGCUGUUUCCAUGGUUACGGCGGCCAUUUUGGAAAUUCCAACUUCAAAAUGCAACUCCGCACAUGUCAGUCACUAUUCCUGUAAAGUUUCAUCCAGUUUGCAGCACUUAAUUUUUUUGGAAAUUUUGAACAUUUGUGCUGCAACCAUGGUUACAGUAGAUAAUUCCAAAAUUCUAAAAGCGUACAUCUCAUUGCCACAUGUCAUGUUAUAUAUCAAUACAGUUUCAUUUAACUUUGGUGCACUACUCUCUGAGAAAAUGCUGAUUUUAUGCAUUUUUCCAUAGGGUCAAUGCAAAACUUGGCCCCAGUUUCCAUGACAACGGCGGCCAUUUUGAACUAUCCAAAUAUUGUCUUGACAUCUUGGCAUACUGGAGAACAUUUUCAUAAAGUUUCAUCCAGUUGGAUCUUAUAACGAAAGAGUUAGAAUUUUUGAUAUUUUAGCUGUUUCCAUGGUAACGGCAGCCAUUUUGAAAAUUCCAAAGUCAAACUGGAAAUCAGCACAUGCCAGUUAACAUUCCUGUGGAGUUUCUUCCAGUUUGGAACACUUUGAUUUUUUUCGCAUUUGUGCUGUUUCCAUGGAAACGGCGGCCAUCUUUUACCAUUCCAUAGCAAGGUGCACAACUUCAAAUGGGGUCCUCAUUAUGUUAUAGUUCCAACAACAUUGGAUCACUCAAUUCUUAGAAACACGAUGGACAAAAUGUGUGGAAGAAUAAUAAAAACUAGAAUUGCCAUUGCAAGCAAUAGCGGAUGUCACCCUUCCCCCCAUUGCCACUAAGCGGCAGCCAUUUCAAAACAACUUAACAGUGAAUGCACAUAUGUAUUCGCUGGCAAUACUUCUUUCUGUAAAUUUUCAGUACAUUUGAGCAUUUUCAAAAAAUUUCACAUUUCUGCUGUUUCCAUGGCAACGGCAGCCAUUUUGAAAAUUUUCAAAGUCAAAAGUCUCAUCUAUACAUGCCAGUUGACAAUAAUAUUAAGUUUCAUUAAGUUUGGAGCAUUUUGAAAAAUAUUUGACAUUUCUGCAGUUUCCAUGGCAACGGUGGCCAUUUUGGAAAUUCCAACUUCAAAAGUCUCAUGCAGACUUGACAGUCAACAAUCAUAUUAAGUUUCAUUAAUUUUUGAGCAUUUUGAAAUUUUUGAAAUUUUUGACAUUUUGGCUGGUUUCUAUGGUAACACAGACCAUUCCAAAUUUCUAAUGGCAGAUACCACAUUGGUACAUGGGAGGGAACAUACCAUCAGAGUUUCAAUGGAUUUGACCUACCAUUUUAAGGAAGUAAAUGCCACUUUUAAGGUGUUUUUAAAGCGUUUUGACCAUUUUUGCCUUGUUUCCAUGGUAACACAAGACAUUUUCGAAAUUCCAACGCCAAAUUGCACAUCUUCCAAUGUUGCUCAUCGUUACUGUGAAGUUUCAUUAAAUUUGGAGCAUUUUGAUAUUUUGGAAAUUUUUGGUGUAGUAUCCAUGGCAACAUAGUAGUUCCAAUGAAUGCCAAAAAUCAUCCAAAACAAGUAUAUAGUGGGCACCUACAUUGUAUCAAAAUAUAAUGAUUCUAAGUUAAAGCAUCUCCAAAUAAUUCCCAAAACCCAAAAAGUGGAAUUUUUCACAUUUGUUCCGUUUCCAUGGUAACGGCAGCCAUUUUUAAUGGUCCUAUGACCUACUGCAACCCGAAAUUUUGUGUUCCUCAUUAUAGUUGACUAUCACUAAGAUUGGUUCCAUUGCCUUCAAAAAAUCUGCCGGACAAAAAUCAUUGGAAGAAUAAGAAGAAUAAUAAUAACAAAGAAACGGAGGAAAAGCAAUAUGUCACCCGACAUUGUCGAUCGGGUGUGACAUAAUAAUAAUGAUAAACGAACAAUAACAAUAUGUCACCCCAACUCCGUUGAGGGUGCCAUAAUAAGAAAAAAAAGAAACGUAGAAUAACAAUAUGUCACCCCAACAUCCGUUGAGGGUGCCAUAACUAGAUUUGCCAUUGCAAGCAAUAGCGGAUGGCACCCUUCCCCAUUGCCAGGCGAGCGGCAGCCAUCUAGAAAAUUCCAAAGUCAAAGUGUGCAUCUACACAUUCAAAUUAUCAUAUUUGUUAAGUUUCAUUAAGUUUGGAGCAUUUUGAAGUUUUUGACAUUUUUGCUGUUUCCAUGGUUACGGCGGCCAUUUUGAAAAUUCCAACUUCAAAUGUCAACUUUGCUUAUGCCAGUGACCAUUCCUGUAAAGUUUCAUCCAGUUUACAGCAUUUUUAUUUUUUUUUGAAAUUUUUGACCUUUUUGCAUUGUUUCCAUGGUAACAACAGAUAUUUUGGAAAUUCCAACGCCAAAUUCCACAUCUUCCAAUGUUGCUCAUCGUUACUGUGAAGUUUCAUGAAGUUUGGAGCAUUUUGAUAUUUUUGAAAUUUUUGGUGUAGUUUCCAUGGCAACAUAGUAGUUCCAAUGAGUGCCAAAAUCAUCCAACACCUGUAUAUGGCCGGCACCUACAUUGUAUCAAAAUAUAAUGGUUCUGAGUUUAAGCAUAUCAAAACAGUUCACCAAAACAAAAAACAGGAUUUUUUCACAUUUGUUUCGUUUCCAUGGCAACGGCAGCCAUCUUGAUGGUGCCAUACCCCACUGCACUAUAGAAUGUGGUGGUCUACAUUAUGGUAUAGUUCCAUCAAUAUUGUUCAAGCCAAUUCCGAGAAAUAGAAUGGACAAAAAAGUGUGGAAGAAUAAAAAUAACUAGAAUUGCCAUUGCAAGCAAUAGCGGAUGUCACCCUUCCCCCAAUUGCCACUAAGCGGCAGCCAUUUCAAAAAUGUUUAACAGUGAAUGCACAUAUAUGCAUGGCAAUACAUUUUUCUGUAAAUUUUCAGUACAUUCAGAGCAUUUUUAAAAAUUUCACAUUUCUGCUGUUUCCAUGGCAACGGCAGCCAUUUUGAAAAUUUCAAAGUCAAAAGUCUCAUCUUACUUGCCAGUUAACAAUAAUAUCAAGUUUCAUUAAGUUCAAAGCAUUUUGAGAAUUUUUGACAUUUUUGCAGUUUCCAUGGCAACGGUGGCCAUUUUGGAAAUUCCAACUUCAAAAGUCUCAUGCAGACUUGACAGUCAACAAUCAUAUUAAGUUUCAUCAAUUUUGGAGCAUUUUGAAAUUUUUGAAAUAUUUGAUCCUGUAUCCAUGGUAACAGAGUAGUUCCAAUGAUUGUCAUAAUCAUUCAAAACCUGUAUAUAGUGGACAACUAUAUUGUAUAAAAAUUUGAUGAUUUUAAGUUCAAGCAUACCAAAGUUAUUCACCAAACCCUGAAGUUUUUGGAGCAUUUUGACCUUUUUGCAUUGUUUCCAUGGUAACGGCAGACAUUUUGGAAAUUCCAACGCCAAAUUCCACAUCUACCAAAGUUGCUCAUCGUUAUGCUAGAAUUUCAAAAAAUUUGGAGCAUUUUCAUAUUUUUGAAAUUUUUGGUGUAGUAUCCAUGGCAACAUAGCAGUUCCAAUGAUUGCCAAAAUCAUCCCAAAGCAGUAUAUAGUGGGCACCUACAUUGUAUUAAAAUCUAAAGAUUUUAAGGUUAAGCAUUCUCAAACAAUUCACCUAACUCCAAAAUUAUAUUUUUUCACCAUUUUUCCGUUUCCAUGGUGAUGGCAGCCAUUUUUUUUAGUUCCAAUAUUGAAAAGCAACAGGAAAGUCAGGGUUCCUUGUUAUAGUGCACCAUCAUUCAGAUUGGUUCCUUUGGCUCUGAGAAAGCGGGCGGACAAAAUUAGGUGGAAGAAAAAUAAUAAUAACUAGAAUUGCCAUUGCAAGCAAUAGCGGAUGUCACCCUUCCCCCCAUUGCCACUAAGCGGCAGCCAUUUCAAAAACUUUUAACAGUGAAUGCACAUAUUUGCAUGGCUAUACAUUUUCUGUAAAUUUUCAGUACAUUUAGAGCAUUUUUAAAAACAUGACAUUUUUGCUGUUUCCAUGGCAACGGCAGCCAUUUUGAAAAUUUCAAAGUCAAAAGUCUCAUCUAUACAUGCCAGUUUACAAUAAUAUUAAGUUUCAUUAAGUUUGGAGCAUUUUGAAAAUAUUUGACAUUUUUGCAGUUUCCAUGGCAACGGUAGCCAUUUUGGAAAUUCCAACUUCAAAAGUCUCAUGCAGACUUGACAGUCAACAAUCAUAUUAAGUUUCAUCAAUUUUGAGCAUUUUGAAAUUUUUGAAAUUUUUGACAUUUUGGCUGGUUUCUAUGGUUACACAGACCAUUCCAAAAUUUUAAUGGCAGAUACCACAUUGGUACAUGGGAGGGAACAUACCAUCAGAGUUUCAAUGGAUUUGACCUACCAUUUUAAGAAAGUAAAUGCCACUUUUAAGGUUUUUGGACCAUUUUGACCAUUUUUGCAUUGUUUCCAUGGUAACGGCAGACAUUUUGGAAAUUCCAACGCCAAAUUCCACAUCUACCAAUGUUGCUCAUCGUUACUGUGAAGUUUCAUUAAAAUUUGGAGCAUUUCCAUAUUUUGGAAAUUUUUGGUGUAGUAUCCAUGGCAACAUAGCAGUUCCAAUGAUUGCCAAAAUCAUCCCAAACCAGUAUAUAGUGGGCACCUACAUUGUAUCAAAAUAUAAUGAUUCUAAGUUAAAGCAUUCUCCAAAUAAUUCACCAAAACCAAAAACUGGAAUUUUUCAUUAUUUUUCGGUUUCCAUGGUGAUGGCAGCCAUUUUUUUAGUUCCAAAGUUGCACUGCAACUGGAAAGUCAGGGUUCCUUGUUAUAGUGCACCAUCAUUCAGAUUGGUUCCUUUGGCUCUGAGAAAACUGCCGGACAAAACUAGGUGGAAGAAAAAUAAUAAUAAUAAUAAUAGUGAAAAAGAAACAGAGGAAUAGCAAUAUGUCACCCGACAUUGUCGAUCGGGUGACAUAAUAAUAAAAAAGAAACAGAGGAAAACAAUAUGUCACCCGACAUUGUCGAUCGGGUGACAUAAUAACUAGAUUUGUAAUUGCUAGCAAUAACGGAUGGCACCCUUCCCCUUAUUGCCAGGUGAGCGGCAGCCAUUUUGAAAAUUCCAAAGUUAAAUAGUGCAUCUACAGAUGUUUAGUAACAAUUUUUGAAAGUUUCAUUAAGUUUGAAGCAUUUUGAAAUUUUAUAUAUUUUUGCUGUUUCCAUGGUAACGGCGGCCAUUUUGAAAAUUCUAAAGUCAAACUGCAAAUCAGCACAUGCCAGUUACCAAUCCUGUGGAGUUUCUUCCAGUUUGGAGCACUUUGAUUUUUUUCGUAUUUUUGCUGUUUCCAUGGAAACGGCGGCCAUUUUUUACCAUUCCAUAUCAAGGUGCACAACUUCACAUGGGGGUCUUCAUUAUAGUAGAGUUCCAUCAACAUUGGUCCAUUGGAUUCCAAGAACUCGCCGGACAAAAUGUGUGGAAGAAAAAUAAGAAAAAAAAGAAACGUAGAAUAACAAUACGUCACCCCAACUCCGUUGACCAUAAUAACGAGAAAAAAUAGAAAAUAGAACAAUAACAAUAUGUCACCCCAACUCCGUUGAGGGUGCCAUAAUAACUAGAAUUGCCAUUGCAAGCAAUAGCGGAUGUCACCCUUCCCCCAUUGCCACUAAGCGGCAGCCAUUUCAAAACAAUUUAACAGUGAAUGCAGAUAUAUGCAUUGGCAAUAUCAUCUUUCUGUAAAUUUUCAGUACAUUUUGAGCAUUGUCAAAAGUUUCACAUUUCUUCUGUUUCCAUGGCAACGGCAGCCAUUUUGAAAAUUCCAAAGUCAAAAGUCUCAUCUAUACAUGCCAGUUAACAAUAAUAUUAAGUUUCAUUAAGUUUGGAGCAUUUUGAAAAUAUUUGACAUUUCUGCAGUUUCCAUGGCAACGGUGGCCAUUUUGGAAAUUCCAACUUCAAAAGUCUCAUGCAGACUUGACAGUCAACAAAUAUAUUAAGUUUCAUCAAUUUUGGAGCAUUUUGAAAUUUUUGAAAUUUUUGACAUUUUGGCUGGUUUCUAUGGUAACAGAUACCAUUCCAAAUUUCUAAUGGCAGAUACCACAUUGGUACAUGGGAGGGAACAUACCAUCAAAGUUUCAAUGGAUUUGACCUACCAUUUUAAGAAAGUAAAUGCCACUUUUAAGGUUUUUGAAGCAUUUUGACCAUUUUUGACUUGUUUCCAUGGUAACGGCAAGACAUUUUUGGAAAUUCCAACGCCAAAUUGCACAUCUACCAAUGUUGCUCAUCGUUACUGUGAAGUUUCAUUAAAUUUGGAGCAUUUUGAUAUUUUGGAAAUUUUUGGUGUAGUUUCCAUGGCAACAUAGUAGUUCCAAUGAAUUGCCAAAAUCAUCCAAAACCAGUAUAUGUGGGCACCUACAUUGUAUCAAAAUAUAAUGAUUCUAAGUUAAAGCAUCUCCAAAUAAUUCAUUAAAACCAAAAAAACUGGAAUUUUUCACAAUUGUUCCGUUUCCAUGGUAACGGCAGCCAUUUUUUAUGGUCUUAAGACCUACUGCAACCCGAAAUUUUGUGUUCCUCAUUAUAGUUAACUAUCAUUAAGAUUGGUUCCAUUGCCUCCAAAAAAACUGCCGGACAAAAUUAGGUGGAAGAAUAAUAAUAACUAGAAUUGCCAUUGCAAGCAAUAGCGGAUGUCACCCUUCCCCCCAUUGCCACUAAGCGGCAGCCAUUUCAAAAACUUUUAACAGUGAAUGCACAUAUAUUUGCAUGGCAAUACAUCUUUCUGUAAAUUUUCAGUACAUUCAGAGCAUUUUAAAAAAUUCACAUUUCUGCUGUUUCCAUGGCAACGGCAGCCAUUUUGAAAAUUCCAAAGUCAAAAGUCUCAUCUAUACAUGCCAGUUAACAAUAAUAUUAAGUUUCAUUAAGUUUUGGAGCAUUUUGAAAAAUAUUUGACAUUUUUGCAGUUUCCAUGGCAACGGUGGCCAUUUUGGAAAUUCCCAACUUCAAAAGUCUCAUGCAGACUUGACAGUCAACAAUCAUAUUAAGUUUCAUUAAUUUUGGAGCAUUUUGAAAUUUUUGAAAUAUUUGAUCCUGUAUCCAUGGUAACAUAGUAGUUCCAAUGAUUGUCAAAAUCAUUCAAAACCUGUAUAUAGUGGACAACUAUAUUGCAUUAAAAUUUGAUGAUUUUAAGUUAAUGCAUAUCAAAGUUUUUCACCAAACCCGGAAGUUUUUGGAGCAUUUUGACCUUUUUGCAUUGUUUCCAUGGUAACGGCAGACAUUUUGGAAAUUCCAACGCCAAAUUCCACAUCUACCAAUGUUGCUCAUCGUUACUGCUAAAGUUUCAAAAAAAUUUGGAGCAUUUUCCAUAUUUUUGAAAUUUUUGGUGUAGUAUCCAUGGCAACAUAGCAGUUCCAAUGAUUGCCAAAAUCAUCCCAAAGCAGUAUAUAGUGGGCACCUACAUUGUAUUAAAAUCUAAAGAUUUUAAGCUUAAGCAUUCUCAAACAAUUCACCUAACUCCAAAAUUAUAUUUUUUCACCAUUUUUCCGUUUCCAUGGUGAUGGCAGCCAUUUUUUAGUUCCAAAGUUGCACUGCAACUGGAAAGUCAGGGUUCCUUGUUAUAGUGCACCAUCAUUCAGAUUGGUUCCUUUGGCUCCAAAAAAACUGCCGGACAAAAUUAGGUGGAAGAAAAAAUAAUAAUAAUAAUACGGAAAAAGAAACAGAGGAAAAGCAAUAUGUCACCCGACAUUGUCGAUCGGGUGACAUAAUAAAAAAAAGAAACAGAGGAAAAGCAAUAUGUCACCCGACAUUGUCGAUCGGGUGACAUAACUAGAUUUGCCAUUGCUAGCAAUAGCGGAUGGCACCCUUCCCCCAUUGCCAGGCGAGCGGCAGCCAUUUUGAAAAUUCCAAAGUCAAAGAGUGCAUCUACACCAUGCAAGUUAUCAUUUUUGUAAAUUUCAUUAAGUUUGAAGCAUUUUGAAAUUUUGGACAAUUUUGCUGUUUCCAUGGUUACGGCGGCCAUUUUGGAAAUUCCAACUUCAAAAUGCAACUCCGCACAUGCAAGUUACUAUUCCUAUAAAGUUUCAUCCAGUUUGCAGCACUUAAUUUUUUUUUGAAAUUUUGAACAUUUGUGCUGCAACCAUGGUUACAGUAGAUAAUUCCAAAAUUCUAAAAGCAGACAUCUCAUUGCCACAUGUCAUGUUAUAUAUCAAUACAGUUUCAUUUACUUUGGUGCACUACUCUCUGAGAAAAUGCUGAUUUUAUGCAUUUUUCCAUAGGGUCAAUGCAAAACUUGGCCCCAGUUUCCAUGACAACGGCGGCCAUUUUGAACUAUCCAUAUAUUGUCCCCCGCUGCAAUUUUUUCCCUCCAUAAUCAUAUAUACCAUUUAAUGUCUCUAGAAUAAAUUUAACAUUGAUGUUCUGGAAUGUUCUGUGAAAAUUCAAAGUUUUGACCUUUUUGCAUUGUUUCCAUGGUAACAACAGAUAUUUUGGAAAUUCCAACGCCAAAUUCCACAUCUUCCAAUGUUGCUCAUCGUUACUGUGAAGUUUCAUGAAGUUUGGAGCAUUUUGAUAUUUUUGAAAUUUUUGGUGUAGUUUCCAUGGCAACAUAGUAGUUCCAAUGAGUGCCAAAAUCAUCCAACACCUGUAUAUAGUGGGCACCUACAUUGUAUUAAAAUAUAAUGAUUCUGAGUUAAAGCAUAUCCAAACAGUUCACCAAAACAAAAACUGGAUUUUUUCACAUUUGUUCCGUUUCCAUGGUGACGGCAGCCAUCUUGAAAGUGCCAACCCCAAAAAGCAAAUCUUCAUCUGGUGGUUAACAUUAUGGUAUAGUUCCAUCUUCUUGGGUCCAUUCACAUUAGAGUUCCAGACUGGACAAAAAUGUGUGGAAGAAAAAUAAUAAUAAAAAUAAAGAAAACUAGAUUUGUAAUUGCUAGCAAUAACGGAUGGCACCCUUCCCCCAUUGCCAGGUGAGCGGCAGCCAGUUUGAAAAUUCCAAAGUCAAAUAGUGCAUCUACAGAUGUCUAGUAACAUUUUUGCAAAGUUUCAUUAAGUUUGAAGCAUUUUGAAAUUUUGGAUUUUUUGCUGUUUCCAUGGUAACGGCGGCCAUUUUGAAAAUUCCAAACUCAAAAGUCAAGUCUACAUAAGCUAGGCAACAUUUGUUAUAAGUUUCAUUAAAUUUAAAGCAUUUUGAAGUUUUUCAAAUUUUUGCUGUUUCCAUGGUAACGGCGGCCAUUUUUGAAUAUUCCAAAGUCAAACCCCUGCUGCAAUUUUUUCCCUCCAUAAUCAUAUACCAUUUAAUGUCUCUAGAAUAAAUUUAACAUUGAUGUUCUGGAAUGUUCUGUGAAAAUUCAAAGUUUUGACCUUUUUGCAUUGUUUCCAAGGUAACAACAGAUAUUUUGGAAAUUCCAACGCCAAAUUCCACAUCUUCCAAUGUUGCUCAUCGUUACUGUGAAGUUUCAUGAAGUUUUUUGAGCAUUUUGAUAUUUUUUGAAAUUUUUGGUGUAGUUUCCAUGGCAACAUAGUAGUUCCAAUGAGUGCCAAAAUCAUCCAACACCUGUAUAUAGUGGGCACCUACAUUGUAUUAAAAUAUAAUGUUUCUGAGUUAAAGCAUAUCCAAACAGUUCACCAAAACAAAAAACUGGAUUUUUUCACAUUUGUUCUGUUUCCAUGGAAACGGUAGCCAUCUUGAACCAUUCCAUGCUUACUGCAACUCUGCACAUGGGGGUCCUUACUAUAGAAGAGUUCCAUCAACAUUGGUCCAUUGGAUUUCGAGAAAUCACCUGGACAAAAUUUGUUGCAAGAAGAAAAAUAAUAAUAAGAAAAAAAAGAAACGUAGAAUAACAAUACGUCACCCCAACUCCGUUGAGGGUGCCAUAACAAAAAGAAACGUAGAAUAACAAUAUGUCACCCAAACUCCGUUUAGGGUGCCAUAAUAAUAAUAACUAGAUUUGCGAUUGCAAGCAAUAGCGGAUGGCACCCUUCCCCCAUUGCCAGGCCAGCGGCAGCCAUUCAGAAAAUUAUAACUGUUUCCAUGGCAACGGCGGCCAUUUUGAAAAUUCGAAACUCAAAAGUUAAGUCUACAUAAGCUAGGCAAAAUUUGUUUUAAGUUUUAUAAAUUUAAAGCAUUUUGAAGUUUUUCAUAAUUUUGCUGUUCCCAUGGUAACGGCGGCCAUUUUGAAUAUUCCAAAGUCAAACCCCCGCUGCAAUUUUUUCCCUCCAUAAUCAUAUAUACCAUCAUAUACCAUUUAAUGUCUCUAGAAUAAAUUUAACAUUGAUGUUCUGGAAUGUUCUGUGAAAAUUUAAAGUUUUGACCAUUUUUGCAUUGUUUCCAUGGUAACUACAGAUAUUUUGGAAAUUCCAACGCCAAAUUCCACAUCUUCCAAUGUUGCUCAUCGUUACUGUGAAGUUUCAUGAAGUUUGGAGCAUUUUGAUAUUUUUGAAAUUUUUGGUGUAGUUUCCAUGGCAACAUAGUAGGUCCAAUGAGUGCCAAAAUCAUCCAACACCUGUAUAUAGUGGGCACCUACAUUGUAUUAAAAUAUGAUCAUUCUGAGUGUAAGCAUAUUCAAACAGUUCACCAAAACAAAAAACAGAAAUUUUUCACAUUUGUUUUGUUUCCAUGGUAACGGCAGCCAUUUUUUACCAUUCCAAUGUCUCUUGCACAACUUCACAUGGCGGUUCAUAUUAUGGUAUAGUUCCAUCAACAUGGGUCUGACCAAUCCCGAGAAAUAGCAUGGACAAAAUGUGUGGAAGAAUAAAAAUAAAAAUAAGAAAAAAAGAAACGGAACAAUAACAAUAUGUCACCCCAACUCCGUUGAGGGUGCCAUAAUAAAAAAAAGAAACGAACAAUAACAAUAUGUCACCCCAACUCCGUUGAGGGUGCCAUAAUAAUAAUAAUAGUGAAAAAGAAACAGAGGAAUAGCAAUAUGUCACCCGACAUUGUCGAUCGGGUGACAUAAUAAGAAAAAAAGAAACGAACAAUAACAAUAUGUCACCCCAACUCCGUUGAGGGUGCCAUAAUAAUAGGGAAAAAGAAACAGAGGAAAAGCAAUAUGUCACCCGACUUUGUCGAUCGGGUGACAUAAUAAUAAGAA
rnacentral:lncRNA from 1 species